UUUAUAUGAAAUUUUUCCGUGUCCAACUUUGACUGUCCGUUUUAUAUGAAAUUUUUUUAUAAUUCGUAUUUUCAUUUUUUGUUAGAUGAUAAAACAUGAUUAAUAUUUUAUGCGUGACUUAUUUUUUUCAUAUUUUUUUUAAAUAAGAUGGACGGUCAAACAUUGGACACACAUUGGGCACGGAAA
rfam:Oryza barthii chromosome 2, whole genome shotgun sequence.